UAGGGAAUCUUCCACAAUGGGCGCAAGCCUGAUGGAGCAACACCGCGUGAGUGAAGAAGGGUUUCGGCUCGUAAAGCUCUGUUGCUGGAGAAGAACGUGCGUGAGAGUAACUGUUCACGCAGUGACGGUAUCCAACCAGAAAGUCACGGCUAACUACGUGCCAGCAGCCGCGGUAAUACGUAGGUGGCAAGCGUUAUCCGGAUUUAUUGGGCGUAAAGCGAGCGCAGGCGGUUGCUUAGGUCUGAUGUGAAAGCCUUCGGCUUAACCGAAGAAGUGCAUCGGAAACCGGGCGACUUGAGUGCAGAAGAGGACAGUGGAACUCCAUGUGUAGCGGUGGAAUGCGUAGAUAUAUGGAAGAACACCAGUGGCGAAGGCGGCUGUCUGGUCUGCAACUGACGCUGAGGCUCGAAAGCAUGGGUAGCGAACA
rnacentral:rRNA from 1 species